rnacentral:rRNA from 1 species
CCUACGGUGGGCAGCAGUGAGGAAUAUUGGUCAAUGUGCGCGAGCCUGAACCAGCCAAGUAGCGUGAAGGAUGACUGCCCUACGGGUUGUAAACUUCUUUUAUAAAGGAAUCAAGUGAGGCACGUGUGCCUUUUUGUAUGUACUUUAUGAAUAAGGAUCGGCUAACUCCGUGCCAGCAGCCGCGGUAAUACGGAGGAUCCGAGCGUUAUCCGGAUUUAUUGGGUGUAAAGGGAGCGUAGAUGGGUUGUUAAGUCAGUUGUGAAAGUUUGCGGCUCAACCGUAAAAUUGCAUUUGAUACUGGCAGUCUUGAGUACAGUUGAGGGAGGCGGAAUUCGUGGUGUAGCGGUGAAAUGCUUAGAUAUCACGAAGAACUCCGAUUGCGAAGGCAGCUUACUAAACUGCCACUGACAUUGAUGUUCGAAAGUGUGGGUAGCAAACAGGAUUAGAUACCCUUGUAGUC